rnacentral:tRNA from 1 species
CUUAGCUCAGUUGGUAGAGCAGCUGACUCUUAAUCAGCGGGUCGUGGGUUCGAACCCCGCAGCGC